AACUUAGUGAGAUCUGCCGCCUCCAGCUGCUGAAGCUGCUGACCUUAUCCACAGCUUCUCUUCUUCUUUAAUGUCCUCCUGGUCAACACUCAGAUUCCAUUGCUGGUGUUCAGGGAGAGCUUCUUCUUUCAUCACCAGCAAUGGCUGCAAACUGCUGUUGAU